rnacentral:rRNA from 1 species
GAACGGGUGAGUAACACGUGGGCAAUCUGCCCUUCACUCUGGGACAAGCCCUGGAAACGGGGUCUAAUACCGGAUAACACUCUGUCCCGCAUGGGACGGGGUUGAAAGCUCCGGCGGUGAAGGAUGAGCCCGCGGCCUAUCAGCUUGUUGGUGGGGUAAUGGCCUACCAAGGCGACGACGGGUAGCCGGCCUGAGAGGGCGACCGGCCACACUGGGACUGAGACACGGCCCAGACUCCUACGGGAGGCAGCAGUGGGGAAUAUUGCACAAUGGGCGAAAGCCUGAUGCAGCGACGCCGCGUGAGGGAUGACGGCCUUCGGGUUGUAAACCUCUUUCAGCAGGGAAGAAGCGAAAGUGACGGUACCUGCAGAAGAAGCGCCGGCUAACUACGUGCCAACAGCCGCGGUAAUACGUAGGGCGCAAGCGUUGUCCGGAAUUAUUGGGCGUAAAGAGCUCGUAGGCGGCUUGUCACGUCGGAUGUGAAAGCCCGGGGCUUAACCCCGAGUCUGCAUUCGAUACGGGCUAGCUAGAGUGUGGUAGGGGAGAUCGGAAUUCCUGGUGUAGCGGUGAAAUGCGCAUAUAUCAUGAGGAACACCGGUGGCGAAGGCGGAUCUCUGGGCCAUUACUGACGCUGAGGAGCG